UCCAUUCACCUGUCAAAAUAUUUCAAUAUGGCGGUCGGUUGGCAAACAACGUUUGCUUACCUUUCGUAAUUUGGAACUUUUGGAAGCUUUUUCUCAAUAAUUGACAUGGAUUGGUGUUAAAUAUCGUUUAGUUUUUUUGAUACAUAUAGUGAAUAGUGAGAACUAAGUUUUAUUCCGAAAGAAAAAUGCCUGUAACAAGUAUUAUGGUUAAUUGUGGAAGUCGUGCAGAUCGGUACCAUAAGGAUUUUUUCGUAUACCUACUGUGACAAAAUCUGUGCAUUACCUACAUAUUAACGAAGAAGGGAUAUGUGGUUAGCAGCUCAAGAGAGAAGAUCUAACUGAAGCAAUUAUUAGAAACCAAGGAGUAUGUAGCAGACAUUUCAUAACGGUGUAACGAAGGAAGUGAUCUGGGUGAUACAGAGCAAGCAGGGCAGAGCAGAUUGAGAGGCUGUGCUAAAUAAACAGACUUGACAAUGACCAUGUUAAGUACACAAGUUGAGCAGUUCAACUUUGCCACCAGAAAAAUAGAAGACUUAGAAAAGAAAGUUGAAAACACUCCUCGGUGACUAAUGGACAAUAUCAAUAAUGUAUUUUUGUGGAAGUAUUAUUGUGGGUUCGAUCAUAAAUUCAUCAAAGCAGCUAUUUUUCCAGAAAAAGAACCUCACAUUUCAUCAACAUCAACAACAGUACUGAGUCCUAACAAUCAAAUGUUACUCACAUUAGUAAAAUUGACGUAUGUUUGAAUAAUAAAAAUAUUUGAGAGAAA